GACGAACGCUGGCGGCGUGCCUAAUACAUGCAAGUCGAGCGAGCGGAACCAACAGAUUUACUUCGGUAAUGACGUUGGGAAAGCGAGCGGCGGAUGGGUGAGUAACACGUGGGGAACCUGCCCCUAAGUCUGGGAUACCAUUUGGAAACAGGUGCUAAUACCGGAUAAUAAAGCAGAUCGCAUGAUCAGCUUUUGAAAGGCGGCGUAAGCUGUCGCUAAGGGAUGGCCCCGCGGUGCAUUAGCUAGUUGGUAAGGUAACGGCUUACCAAGGCGACGAUGCAUAGCCGAGUUGAGAGACUGAUCGGCCACAUUGGGACUGAGACACGGCCCAAACUCCUACGGGAGGCAGCAGUAGGGAAUCUUCCACAAUGGACGCAAGUCUGAUGGAGCAACGCCGCGUGAGUGAAGAAGGUUUUCGGAUCGUAAAGCUCUGUUGUUGGUGAAGAAGGAUAGAGGUAGUGACUGGCCUUUAUUUGACGGUAAUCAACCAGAAAGUCACGGCUAACUAC
rnacentral:rRNA from 1 species